rnacentral:rRNA from 1 species
GAUGAACGCUGGCGGCGUGCCUAAUACAUGCAAGUCGAGCGAACAGACGAGGAGUUUGCUCCUCUGACGUUAGCGGCGGACGGGUGAGUAACAUGUGGAUAACCUACCUAUAAGACUGGGAUCACUUCGGGAAACCGGAGCUAACACCGGAGAAUAUAUUGAACCGCAUGGUGCAAUAGUGAAAGACGGUUUUGCUGUCACUUAUAGAUGGAUCCGCGCCGCAUUAGCUAGGUGGGAAGGUAACGGCUUACCAAGGCAACGAUGCGUAGCCGAACUGAGAGAAUGAUCGGCCACACUGGAGUUGAGACGCGCACCCGACCUCUGAGGGAGACACCGGUCGGGAAUCUUCCGCAAUGGGCAGAAGCCAAACGGAGGAAAGCGGCGUGAGUGAGGAAGGGCAUCGGCUCGUGAAGCUCUGUUACUAGGGAGGAACAAAUGUGUAUGUAACUAUACACGUCUUGACAGUACCUGGUCAGAAAGCCACGGCUAACUCCGUG